GGAUUAGAUACCCUGGUAGUCCACGCUGUAAACGAUGAUCACUCGUUGUUGGCGAUAUACUGUCAGUGACCAAGCGAAAGCAUUAAGUGAUCCACCUGGGGAGUACGAUCGCAAGGUUGAAACUCAAAGGAAUUGACGGGGGCCCGCACAAGCGGUGGAGCAUGUGGUUUAAUUCGAUGAUACGCGAGGAACCUUACCAAGGCUUAAAUGCACAAUGACCUCCCGGGAAACCGGGAUUUCUUUCGAGACAUAGUGCAAGGUGCUGCAUGGUUGUCGUCAGCUCGUGCCG
rnacentral:rRNA from 1 species